AAAAAGAUAAGCUAAAUGAAGCUAAUGGGCUCAUACCCCGUAAAUGAAAGUCUACUCUUUCUCUUUUUA
rnacentral:tRNA from 1 species